CUCUUAUCAAGAGUGGCGGAGGGACUGGCCCAAUGAUGCCCGGCAACCGAUAGCGUAAGCUAUGAGGUGCUAAUUCCAACAGAACACUAAUGUUCUGAAAGAUGAGAG
rfam:Desulfosporosinus sp. I2 contig00003, whole genome shotgun sequence.